AACGAACGCUGGCGGCAUGCCUAACACAUGCAAGUCGAACGAGACCUUCGGGUCUAGUGUCGCACGGGUGCGUAACGCGUGGGAACCUGCCCUUAGGUUCGGAAUAACUCCCCGAAAGGGGUGCUAAUACCGGAUAAUGUCUUCGGACCAAAGAUUUAUCGCCUUUGGAUGGGCCCGCGUUGGAUUAGCUAGUUGGUAGGGUAAAAGCCUACCAAGGCGACGAUCCAUAGCUGGUCUGAGAGGAUGAUCAGCCACACUGGGACUGAGACACGGCCCAGACUCCUACGGGAGGCAGCAGUGGGGAAUAUUGGACAAUGGGCGAAAGCCUGAUCCAGCAAUGCCGCGUGAGUGAUGAAGGCCUUAGGGUUGUAAAGCUCUUUUACCCGGGAUGAUAAUGACAGUACCGGGUGAAUAAGCUCCGGCUAACUCCGUG
rnacentral:rRNA from 1 species